CGGAGCGAGGGGCUCUGGGUCAACCUCCCACCCGUGUUUAUCGUACCUUGUUGCUUCGGCGGGCCCGCCUCACGGCCGCCGGGGGGCAUCCGCCCCCGGGCCCGCGCCCGCCGAAGACACACAAACGAACUCUUGUCUGAAGAUUGCAGUCUGAGUACUUGACUAAAUCAGUUAAAACUUUCAACAACGGAUCUCUUGGUUCCGGCAUCGAUGAAGAACGCAGCGAAAUGCGAUAAGUAAUGUGAAUUGCAGAAUUCAGUGAAUCAUCGAGUCUUUGAACGCACAUUGCGCCCCCUGGUAUUCCGGGGGGCAUGCCUGUCCGAGCGUCAUUGCUGCCCUCAAGCACGGCUUGUGUGUUGGGCUCUCGCCCCCCGCUUCCGGGGGGCGGGCCCGAAAGGCAGCGGCGGCACCGCGUCCGGUCCUCGAGCGUAUGGGGCUUCGUCACCCGCUCUGUAGGCCCGGCCGGCGCCCGCCGGCGAACACCAUCAAUCUUAACCAGGUUGACCUCGGAUCAGGUAGGGAUACCCGCUGAACUUAAGCAUAUCAAUAAAGCGGAGGAAUGAG
rnacentral:rRNA from 1 species